GGUUUGGCUUAGUAGGGUGAAAUUUAAAAGCGCAUAAACUAUAUGAUACAAUAUGAGAAAUAUUUAAGCGACAUAUUGCGAAACAAACAUUUAUCGCAAGAACAAAAUUUGGCGGAAAAAAAAAAUAAUAAUAAUUAAAAACCAAUUGUUCAGAGAACAAUUGAAAGUUUUUCCACACCACAGAAAUUUGGAUAAGAAGGUAGUUUCUUCAUACUGAUGCGAUAAAUAAUGGUUUAAUUAUCUUUUUGAGUGAUAUAAGGGAGAUAAUAUGCUACUUCCGGUGAAAUGAAUGUCACAUCUGGUCUCAUAUGAUAGGUUCUUUCACACUGAUUGCAAAAAUAUAUAGUUUCUAUAUACUUUUGUAUGUAGAAUGGGAGAUAAUUGGCCACUUCCAGUUUGUUGGAAGUCAUUUUAAGUCUUCAGUACUUUGUUCAUGUAUCUAUAUGAAAAAAAUAUAUGGAUUCUGAGUACUUUUAUGUGAAGAAAUUGCAAAAAAAGCUACUUCCGGUUUUCUCAAGGUCACUUCCGGUGGCCAUUUUUCAAGGUCAUUUGUCAUUUAACCUUUUGUAUCAGGUCAAAUGUCUUUAUAAUGAACUUACUUGAAGUUAUAAUCAAAUAACCUCAUAUCAAGACAUUUCAGGGGCGACAACUCCUAUAAGAUGCCAUCUAAUUGUAUAAGACUAAAUGUAGCAUAUCUUCAUUACAAUUAAGCAGACAUUUUGCACUUGUUCUUUUAUAUGAAUCUCUCAAAGUGAGUGAGAAAAUGCAAAAACAAGCAAAAGUCACAAUUGGGAACUUGACCUUGACCUUUGACCUUGACCUCAUUUUCUAAGUUAGGACAUAGGGGACUCAAAUAAAAACAUCCCAGGGUUAUACGGUUAUCUGUUAAUGAGUUAAAUAAACAUACCGACAAAUUCAUUUUGUAAAGGUAGAUAACUCCUAUAAAAUUUCAUCGAAUCGCUUCAAUCCAAAUACGCCAAAAAUUACUGAGGAUGUAACGAACAAUUUGUAAAAAGAAUUUUGUCGCUAUCUUUUUUUGUUACGAAGGAGAUACGCUUUGAUGAUAAACAGUGAAUAGGGAGAUAACUCUUACAAAGAAAAUGGUUCGGCUUAGCAGGGUGAAAUUUAAAAGCGCAUAAACUAUACAAUACAAUAUGAGAAAUAUCUAAGCGACAUAUUGCGAAACAAACAUUUAUCGCAAGAACAAAAGUUGGCGGAAAAAAAAAAAAAUAAUAAUAAUAAUAAUUAAAAACCAAUUGUUCAGAGAACAAUUGAAAGUCUUUCCACACCACAGAAAUUUGGAUAAGAAGGUAGUUUCUUCAUACUGAUGCGAUAAAUAAUGGUUUAAUUAUCUUUUUGAGUGAUAUAAGGGAGAUAAUAUGCUACUUCCGGUGAAAUGAAUGUCACAUCUGGUCUCAUAUGAUAGCUUCUUUCACACUGAUUGCAAAAAUAUAUAGUUUCUAUAUACUUUUGUAUGUAGAAUAGGAGAUAAUUGGCCACUUCCGGUUUGUUGGAAGUCAUUUUUAGUCUUCAGUAAUUUGUUCAUGUAUCUAUAUGAAAAAAUAUAUGGAUUCUGAGUACUUUUAUGUGAAAAAAUUGCAAAAAAAGCUACUUCCGGUUUUCUCAAGGUCACUUCCGGUAGCCAUUUUUCAAGGUCAUUUGUCACUUAACCUUUUGUAUCAGGUCAAAUGUCUUUAUAAUGAACUUACUUGAAGUUAUAAUCAAAUAACCUCAUAUCAAGACAUUUCAGGGGCGACAACUCCUAUAAGAUGCCAUCUAAUUGUAUAAGACUAAAUGUAGCAUAUCUUCAUAACAAUUAAGCAGACAUUUUGCACUUGUUCUUUUAUAUGUAUCUCUCAAAGUGAGUGAGAAAAUGCAAAAACAAGCAAAAGUCACAAUUGAGAACUUGACCUUGACCUUUGACCUUGACCUCAUUUUCUAAGUUAGGACCUAGGGGACUCAAAUAAAAACAUCCCAGGGUUAUACGGUUAUCUGUUAAUGAGUUAAAUAAACAUACCGACAAAUUUAUUUUGUAAAGGUAGAUAACUCCUAUAAAAUUUCAUCGAAUCGCUUCGAUCCAAACACGCCAAAAAUUACUGAGGAUGUAACGAACAAUUUGUAAAAAGAAUUUUGUCGCUAUCUUUUUUUGUUACGAAGGAGAUACGCUUUGAUGAUAAAAAGUGAAAAGGGAGAUAACUCUUACAAAGAAAAUGGUUCGGCUUAGCAGGGUGAAUUUUAAAAGCGCAUAAACUAUACGAUACAAUAUGAGAAAUAUCUAAGCGACAUAUUGCGAAACAAACAUUUAUCGCAAGAACAAAAGUUGGCGGAAAAAAAAAAAAAUAAUAAUAAUAAUAAUAAUAAUCAGAACAAAAACAAUAAGUCUUUCCACAGAAAAGUGGAAAGACUUAAUUAAAAACCAAUUGUUCAGAGAACAAUUGAAAGUCUUUCCACACCAAAGAAAUUUGGAUAAGAUGGUAGUUUCUUCAUACUGAUGCGAUAAAUGAUGGUUUAACUAUCUUUUUGAGUGAUAUAAGGGAGAUAAUAUGCUACUUCCGGUCAAAUGAAUGUCACAUUCGGUCUCAUAUGAUAGCUUCUUUCACACUGAUUCCAAAAAUAUAUAGUUUCUAUAUACUUCUGUAUGUAGAAUGGGAGAUAAUUGGCCAC
rnacentral:lncRNA from 1 species